UACGUAGGGUGCAAGCGUUAUCCGGAAUCAUUGGGUUUAAAGGGUCCGUAGGCGGUUUGGUAAGUCAGUGGUGAAAGCCCAUCGCUCAACGGUGGAACGGCCAUUGAUACUGCCAGACUUGAAUUAUUAGGAAGUAACUAGAAUAUGUAGUGUAGCGGUGAAAUGCUUAGAGAUUACAUGGAAUACCAAUUGCGAAGGCAGGUUACUACUAAUGGAUUGACGCUGAUGGACGAAAGCGUGGGUAGCGAACAGG
rnacentral:rRNA from 1 species